rnacentral:tmRNA from 1 species
UCUGCUGGCCGAGCGUCUUCCCUGCUCCUCGGGUAGCGUGAGGCGAGAACCAAAGAGAGAGCUACGUACGUAGAUCCUGAAGUCUAGGGCUUGCGGACGCGGGUUCGAUUCCCGCCGCCUCCACCA